rnacentral:miRNA from 1 species
UAGGUCACAGUCUGAACCAAUGG